CCUACGGGGGGCUGCAGUGGGGAAUAUUGCACAAUGGGCGCAAGCCUGAUGCAGCCAUGCCGCGUGUGUGAAGAAGGCCUUCGGGUUGUAAAGCACUUUCAGCGGGGAGGAAGGCGGUGAGGUUAAUAACCUCAUCGAUUGACGUUACCCGCAGAAGAAGCACCGGCUAACUCCGUGUCAGCAGCCGCGGUAAUACGGAGGGUGCAAGCGUUAAUCGGAAUUACUGGGCGUAAAGCGCACGCAGGCGGUCUGUCAAGUCGGAUGUGAAAUCCCCGGGCUCAACCUGGGAACUGCAUUCGAAACUGGCAGGCUAGAGUCUUGUAGAGGGGGGUAGAAUUCCAGGUGUAGCGGUGAAAUGCGUAGAGAUCUGGAGGAAUACCGGUGGCGAAGGCGGCCCCCUGGACAAAGACUGACGCUCAGGUGCGAAAGCGUGGGGAGCAAACAGGAUUAGAUACCCCUGUAGUC
rnacentral:rRNA from 1 species